rnacentral:rRNA from 1 species
UACGGAGAGUGCGAACGUUUGUUCGGAUUCACUGGGCGUAAAGGGCACGUAGGCGGCUCGGCAAAUCGGUCGUGGAAUCCCGACGCUUACCGUCGGAACGGCGGCCGAAAAUACCGAGCUCGAGGGCGUGAGGGGUCACUGGAACUCCUGGUGAAGCGGUGAAAUGCGUAGAUAUCAGGAGGAACGCCGGAGGCGAAAGCGAGUGACUGGCGCGUUCCUGACGCUGAGGUGCGAAAGCUAGGGGAGCAAACAGG